GGGUGCGGUUCUCGGCGGGAGCGUUCUGGGCAGUGGGCGGCCGGGAGGGGACUGCGGAGAGAGUAGCAAGCCGGCUCACCUGUAGCGGCGUUACGGUCUGCCAAGGGCAACGCUGUAGCGUGAGGGCGCAGAAUACAUCCACUGAGAAAUUUCUGGAGGAUUAUGAGUUCGGCUGGUCCAAGUAGUCUGAUAUCAAGUGCUGGAUGCUAUGCAUAGAUUUUAAGAAUAUUGCCAGGACAGUGGGUGAUCCAAUCCACCAUCAAAGCCUAAUAAAGUUAAGAAGGCCUUGAAGGAAAAAUUGACUCUGAAUAAAUCACCAUUACUAUGAAAUUGAUAGUUACUAUUUGAGAAGAAGGAUCCAACACCUGCUCUUCCAUCUUUGCUUUGAGAACUCCUGAACACUCUGGGAGAGAAACGAGUGACAGAGUAGCACCAAACAAGUGCUCAGGGCUUGCCCACCUUCAGGAACAAACCGUCAUAGCAGAAAAGCUCAAGUACAUCAAUGGGAAGAAGGGUGGUUGUGAGUAGCUGCACCAAGAGGUUCCAGUAGCCACUUCUCAACUGCUCUGCACUCUGUCUCUUGGCUCUGAAACCCCACAGAAGCCUUGUGGAUGGAAAAUACCAUAUUUACAAAGUUCCUGGAUACUUAAGAACUUCCCAGAUACUUCCCAGAUAUAAACAAAAUAUCCAAAAUAAAAGACUAUCUGAACAGGUUAAAAGCAAACUAAAGAAACUCGGCAGUCAAGAGGAGAAAAGAAAAGCAUUUAAUUUGGCUCUGAGUAGUAACGCCACUGACAUUUGCCACCUACAAGGCCAGGCAGUGAUUUCCCUGGGUACCUACACAGACAUGCACACAGAAGCACUCAGCUUGGACACCACAGUACUUGUGAGCCCUGGGCUUGGUGCUGAGUCCAGCCUUCCAGUGCAGCCGGCCUGCACUCAGAUAUCUUCAUUGUUCCCGCCCCUACUAAUGUACCACAAGAUUGCAUAAAGAAUGAGCAGGAUGGUGAAAAGGAAGAAUGCAAGGAAAACAGCUUUGACACCACAGGCUGUAUAUACCCCGGUGAGCAUGGGAGCUGGAGUGCAGCAGGGAGGCACUGAUGCAUGCGUAGAUUUGUCUAUGAUGUAUGCAUGCUUGCAUCCCAGGGAACACUCCAAUGGCACCACUGACACAGCCCUGCGUGCAUCAUCUUUUCUGUGCUCACCUCUUUACAGCCUAUCUUCAUCACUUGCAGGAAAAUCAGUUAUUUCACGGACAGAGAAACAACACACAGGAUGUUUGUCAGAUCUGACAGCAUCUGCUUAGCAGACAGGCCUUAACCACUCUUCUGGGGGAAAGUCCACUAUCCUACAGCGAUCUAUAUGUGUUAUGUAUUUAUUCAAGAAAAAAAAAAAAAAAAAACAAAUAAAGCGGACACUUUCUCAGCUGUGGCCCUGCAGGUUGGGUCCAACAGCAAAGAGCUGUUUUGCUUUUACCCAGUUAUCUCCCCCUCCCCCCCGCCUUUUAUUUUUAUUUUUUUUAGCCUUUGUCUCUCUGUUUUCUGGAACUUGGGAUUUAUUUUCUAGUUCUACAAUUCUGUGAUUCUUUGUCACUUAUAUGAAUGAUUUUACUGUCUGUGCAGUCAGCGAACAUUGUAACUGCAGAAGAAAUAUUUAUUGAUUUACUCCUAUGGACCUUAGUGAAUAUUGUUUAAAUACUCAUGCUGUUUUACUAAGCUUCUAAAUUAUUCUAAGAUAAUUUCUCGUUAAUAUUAUUUUGACUUUGCUUUAUAAUUGCAUCUAUCUGAAGAUAACACCCACAGGUACUGCUUCGUCUAGUAGUUUCUUUAUAUGUUGUUAAAAAUGUAUAAUGUAUUUAUUCAAGAUAAAAUACAUGUGUUCUCUUUGUCAAACUAGUAAAGCUCAACAUUUGAAAGAGCAGAAUGAAAAACAAAGUUCUAAUUUUAAAUUUAAAGCUUUAAUCUUUAAGUUUUCAGAUAACCUAUCACAAGAUAGACUCAUAGUGCAAUUUGUCAUAGAAUCAUAGAAUCACUAAGGUUGGAAAUGACCUCCAAGAUCAUCUAUUCCACCUACCACCAAUAUCGUUCUGACCUGCCACUUGAUUUCAUAACCCUUGUUACCAUUAAGCCCACUGACUUGAGUUUGAUUAGUGUGUAUCUUCCAGACAGCACCUGAAUUUCAUUAAAAAUUUAAAAUCUGUUUCUCAGAGCAAUUUGUUCCAGUAGCUAAUAAGGUGCACUUACAGAAAAGAUGAAGGAAGAAAAGAAAGCUCUCAUUUUUAAUCUGAAUUUAUUUAGCUCAAGUCCUCAGCCUUCAUUCUUGUUGAAGUUCUUCAGUACCUACUGUUCUCUCUCUUCGUGAAGGUAAUUAUACAACAUAAGCAAUCUCUGUGUUGUUGAAACACUCAGAUCAUUAGGACAUCUUAUUCCCCAAGCAUUUAAUCACUCUUGCAGCUCUUAUCUGUGCAAUUCUGAAUUUCAACCUGAGUCAGGGACAUUUAAACAGCUGAUAUGAUCACAUCCAGAACAGAAAUGAAAGUAGUUGCCAACCUUUUGAGAGGAGUCUUUCCCUUUCUAUGUUGUAUUUGCUUUUUCCCCUCUGUGCAUGCUGUCAUACACCUAUAGCAGUGAGGAAAUGAAUUGUACAGGCAGCUUCCACAGCAAUAAGCCAGAGAACACACCUGAAAUCAUGCCCACAGCUGAGGUGCUACUGAUAACAGUGUAGUUAGGAAGAAUGCUGGCAAAAAUCCUGCCUUAUCCUCAACGCUCCUGCAUUCCACGGGGCACAUGCGCAGCCUGAAGACAAAGCCAAAUAGCCACAGUGGUUGCCUGUUCUUCAGGCAACCGGCUGGGUGAUGCCGUGUGAAACAAUCAGUUUAUUUUCCUACC